GAAUUUCGGGAGGAUGUUCUAUUGCUUCCGAUCUACCCCUGUUAUCUUCGAGCCGGCGAAAGAAAGGUUUCUGGCGAAAAAAAGGGGGCGAAUAAUCGGGUUAUCGAGCGUUGGGAGGAGGAAUCGAAAGAAGGAAGGAAGGAAAGAAAGAAAGAAAAAAAAGGCGAGUCGCGUUCGAUCGGUUCGCGGCGUGGAAACUCGCGUGGAAACAAAGAAUCGAAGCCACGCAUCACGCAACCGGGAAGAGGGGCAAACGCUUUUUGUACGAUUUUACGUCCAUGUUAGUCGAACCGUUUUUCAAAACCGUUUUUUAUAUAUACAGUACAUAAGUAUAAUAUGUAUACACGCGCAUGUACAGUAGAGACGACGAAACUUAAUUUAUUAUCAUUGUUCAUUUAUUUAACGGGGGACACCGUUCCAUCCCCUAUCUGCAAUUAUAUGUAUAUUCGCUACCAAGUACUUUGUCGCAGUCGAAAAUGUUGUUGCAUUGACAUUUAACGAGGAUCGAUGUAAAAUGUAUUGAUUAUUAUUAUUAUUAUUAUUAUUAUUAUUAUUAUUAUUAUUAUUAUUAUUAUUAUUAUUAUUAUUAUUAUUAUUGCUGUUGUGCAUCGCGGAUCACACAUGAAAUGGAAAAAAAAUGGGAGAGUUUGAUUUCGCCUUUCGUUUUUCUUUUUUCUUUUUUUUUUUUCUUCCUUCCGAAUUUUCGUUGGCCGGCCAACUAAUACGCUGAGAAAUACGAUGGAAAAUAACGAUUACUCGCAAAGUUCUGGCAAUGACGAAGAACGCGCAACGAACGAACGAGCGAAAGAUCUCUUUCCCUUUUUUUUUAAGAAGCAAAAAAAAAAAAAAAAAAAAAGAAAAAAAAGAAAGAAAAGAAAUAACGCGUAUACGAAUCGCGAGAUUAUUAAUUUAUUGUUGCGUUCGGGAGAGAGCGGAGGUGUCACGUUCCUCCCCUUCAAUCUCGCUAAUUUUAGCUGCGAUUUAGCGAUAUAGGCAGAACAGAAGACAGUGAAAAAAAAAAAAAGUCAUAGGCACUAGAGUACCUCGAAAGAUAACAAGUAGCACUCUUGAAAGUUAGCUUGCACGGACGUUCUCCUUUUCCAUCGCGCCGUCUUGCAAUUAAAACGAGGAGGAGGAGGAGGUGGGGACGGAGGUGGAGGUGGAGAGGUGUGGAUCGGGAGUGGAAUCGGCGGAUGAAUAGGAAAGGGCGGAAGAUCGAUCGUAUUCGAAGGGACGUGGCGGAUGAGACGCGAGAGUCGGUGAAUCGUGACGUGAUCGUAUAAAAGAGAGCGAAAAUCGGCCCGAUCGAUGGGGAGAACACCAGCUCGCAGAACAGGGUAACUAGCUCUAACAUCUAUCUCUUACAUCAACUUAAAAAAAAAAAAAAAGAAAAAAAUUACCGAAAAAAAAAAAUCUCUAUCACACUCGUUCACCUUAUGGUAUCACAGGUUCACUCUAAUCACAAAUGUCGGCCAAGGCUAACUCGAAACACUAUCACACCUUCGUACUAAUAAACGAUUUACUAUUCAAUUUCA